GGCGCUGUGCCGGAUAAUCGGAUUACUUUGAUGUAGUAAAACAUGUUGGUUCAACCCCUCCGGCGCUA
rnacentral:tRNA from 1 species